rnacentral:rRNA from 1 species
ACCCGCACAAGCAGCGGAGCGUGUGGUUUAAUUCGUUGCUACACGAAGAACCUUACCUGGGUUUGACAUAUAGGUUGUAGGGAACUGAAAAGGGACCGACCUUCGGGGAGCCUAUACAGGUGUUGCAUGGCUGUCGUCAGCUCGUGUCGUGAGAUGUUCGGUUAAGUCCGCUAACGAGCGCAACCCUCGUCGUAUGUUAUAUGUGUCAUACGAGACUGCCGGUAAAAAGCCGGAGGAAGGUGAGGAUGAUGUCAAGUCAGCAUGACCUUUAUAUCCAGGGCUACACACACGUUACAAUGGCCAACACAAUAGGUUGCUAAGCCGCGAGGUGGAGCCAAUCCAUAAAGUUGGUCUCAGUUCAGAUUGUAGGCUGCAACCCGCCUGCAUGAAGAUGGAGUUGCUAGUAACCGCAGGUCAGCUAUACUGCGGUGAAUACGUUCCCGGGGCUU